AGAAAAAAAAGUCCUAAGCGGUUUUUGGUGAUGUUGAUCACAUAAUUAAAGGACUAAUGACUUCUUUUAAGUGUUGACAACAUAUUAUGUGUUGUGGGUGCAUGAAAUACAAGUAGAGACUGAUGAGAACAAGGGUGGCCCGAUCUUCCGAAAGGUUCUGCUAACUCUCGAGGAAACGAGACACAAAUCGAUCCGGCUUCCGAACAACACGAUCCGAAACUCCGCAAUCGCAGCACCACGUCUCCUUUGGUUAUCAACCGGUGCUGCACGGUUGACCUCGCCAAGAAGACUAAGUCCUUUGCCUAUGAAUUGAAACACAAGCAAGAACAAGGAAGAAUGCAACCAAUUUGCAGAUGAAAGAUUAAUCUCACGAGUUAGGGUCUCACAAACCGAUGAAACGGCGAAACUGUUCUUGACAGAAUAAUCUAAACAAAAACCCCAAAACCUAACAAGAGUGGCGGUGGCUGGAUAUGUAGGUCUAAGGGUCAUCACCACCCCUGGACGCACCCCCUAACGGGCUCAACAACGAUACAUGGCCCAACGGAACAAAAACGGUGACGCAGCACCGAAACAGAUUGUAGAUGCUGACUUGUUUCGACGUUUCCCGACGAUUCAUAAGGAAUUUGGUCCUCAAACCAACGCCGUUGGUUUCCUUAUGAAUUUAUCUUUCCAACCAUGGUUAGAACAUCGAAAACGGAGUCCAGAUGUGUCCUGGGCAUUCGUUUUACUCCUCGCUAGUCCUGGACUCUGAAACAGGCUUGAAGUCGACUCGGUUUGGGCCUCCUCCUUGACCUGGUCGUCCUUGCUGGCCCUCCAUGCCUCCAAGCCAUCCCUUAUGCAUUCCUUGGUCCUCUGUAUGAUUCCUAAGCAUAAUAUAAUUAUUAGGUAGUAAUCUAUUCUCGAAAUUAUAAAAAGACUUGCUUAGGAACAAGCUCAUCCGUAAAUUUAUUUGUCGUGCGCGAGCUCUUGUGAUUGGACCUUGAAUAUCCAGCGGAGGAUCAUCUUGUGCAUCUGAAGAAGUGAUGUCCUCAUCAUCCUCCCCCUCUUGAAUUGGGGUCGUCCUCGACUCAAGGUCAUCUUCUUCUUCUAAAUAUGACUUCAAAUCUGAAAUGUUGAAAGAAGGACUAACCCCAAACUCAGGCUGGCAACUCAAGUUUAUAUGCAUUAUCAUUUAUUUUCUCAAUAACUUUAUAAGGACCAUCAGCUCUUGGCAUUAAUUUUGACUUACGCAGCUCUAGAAAUCUAUCCUUUCUCAAAUGUAACCAUACUAAAUCACCCGGUUCAAGUUUAAUUUCUUUUCUACCUUCACUGCCAGCAAUUUUAUACUUUUCAUUCAUCUUUUCAAUAUUUGCUUUAGUGGUUUUAUGCAACUUAUGAAUAAAUUCAGCACAUGCACUAGCAUCACUAUGUAUUCUUUCAGUGGUAGGUAAAGGUAAAAGAUCAAUAGGAGCACGAGGGUUAAAACCAUACACUACCUGAAAAGGACUUACCUUGGUCGUAGAAUGUGUUGCCCGAUUGUAAGCAAACUCCACAUGAGGCAAACAUUCUUCCCACAUCUUCAAAUUUUUGUUCAAAACAGCUCUCAACAUGGUGCCCAAAGUGCAGUUCACUACCUCUGUUUGUCCAUCAGUUUUUGGGUGACAAGUUGUUGAAAAUAACAGUUUUGUACCCAACUUGUUCCAUAGAGUACGCCAAAAGUGACUCAAAAAUUUAGCAUCACGAUCUGAAACAGUAGUAGAAGGCAUACCAUGCAAACGAACAAUCUCUUGGAAAAAAGGUCAGCAAUAUGAAUGGCAUUAUCCUUUUAUGACAUAGUAUAAAAUGUGCCAUCUUAGAGAAUCAAUCCACAACAACAAAAAUGCUAUCCCUCCUCCUCUUAGUCCUUCGCAAUCCCAAAACAAAGUCCAUUGAAAUAUCUGCCCAAGGAAUAGAAGGAACAGGAAGAGGCAUAUACAAACCAUGUGGAUUUAGGCGAGACUUAGCAUUUUGACAUGUGGUGCAGCGUGCCACGAACUGCUUAACGUCUCUCCUCAUCUGUGGCCAAAAGAAGUGUGUGGACAAAAUAUCCACCGUCUUCUUAUCACCAAAAUGGCCCAUCAGUCCUCCGCCAUGCGCUUCCUGCAACAACAACAGACAAAACGGAACCAACUGGAAUACAUAAACGGUUAGCUCUAAACAUAAAGCCAUCAUUUAUCACAAACUUGUUCCAUGUGCGACCCUCCUUCAGGAACACAUCUUUAAAAUCAGGAUCAAGCACAUAUUGGUCUUUUAUUGAUUCAAGCGCCAAAAUUCUAUAAUCAAGUUGGGACAGCAUAGUAUAUCGUAUAGACAAAGCAUCAACAAUUAUAUUAUCCUUCCCUUUCUUGUGUGUGUUAACAUAAGGAAAAGAAUCAAUAAAUUCAACCCACUUAGAAUGUCUGAUUCAAAUUGUUUUAAGAACGAAGAUACUUAAGCGAUUCAUGAUCAGAAUGUAUAACAAAUUCCUUAGGCCACAAAUAAUGACGCCACAUCUCUAAAGAACGUACAAGUGCAUACAAUUCCUUAUCAUACGUAGAGUAGAAUAGGGCCAUGCAAUUUUUCGCUAAAAUAUGCAACGGGCUUACCAGCUUGCAUCAACACACCUCCAAUGCCAACUCCACUAGCAUCACAUUCUAACUCAAAAGUCGUACCAAAGUUUGGAAGUUGCAGCAAUGGCGCGUGUGUAAGCUUGUCCUUCAAAGUAUCAAAGGAACUCUCUUGUGCUUUAUCUCAAUGGAACACCACACCUUUCUUUGUCAACUCAUGCAAAGGGGCAGCAAUGGCGCUGAAAUCCUUGAUAAAACGGUGAUAGAAACCUACAAGACCAAUAAAACUUCUCACCUGUGCGAUGGUUUGGGGUACUGGCCAGCUCUUUAUGGCUUCAAUUUUUGACUUGUCCACCUCAAUUCCCUGUGGAGUAACAACAUAGCCAAGAAAAGAGACUCGAUUCGUUCAAAAGAUGCACUUCUCAAGGUUACCAAAUAAACGUGCAUCGCGCAAAGCAUUAAAAACAACACAUAAGUGAUCCAUAUAUGUUCAUCCAAAGACUUGCUAUAUAUCAGUAUAUCAUAAGUAAACCACCACAAAUUGCCCAAUAAAAGCUCUUAAAACAUCAUUCAUCAAUCUCAUGAAAGUACUAGGUGCAUUAGUUAAACCAAAAGGCAUGACUAACCACUCAUAUAAACCAAAUUUAGUUUUGAAUGCUGUUUUCCAUUCAUCUCAAAGUUUCAUUCUAAUUUGGUGGUAGCCACUAUGCAAGUCAACCUUAGUGAAAAUUACAGAGCCACACAACUCAUCAAGCAUGUCAUCAAGCCUAGGAAUAGGAUGACAAUAUCAAAUAGUAAUAUUACCAAAAUCAUAGGAAUAGCACAAGGACUAAGGCUUUCUCGUACAUACCCGCGGUCCAAAAGGUCUAGGGCUUGUUGCUGAAUUUCCUUAGUCUCCUCGGGAUUGGUUCGAUAAGUAGCUAAGUUUGGCAAUGUUGCACCCGGGAUCAAAUCAAUUUGAUGCUCUAUUCCUCUCAUAGGUGGCAGCCCCGGGGGUAUCUCAGCUGGGAAAACAUCCUCAUACUCCUGCAAAAGGUUAGUCACAACAGUAGGCAUCGAGCUAACAAUAUCAUCAAGCGAAUAAAUGACUUGUUUGCAAACCGAAGUGUAGCAAAUAUCAUCAUCAGAAAUUUCAGCAAGGUCACUCUUUCUUGCAAGCAUAACUGCACCCUUUAAUUUAAUUCCCUCAGCCUUAUUAAUAGGUGUCAUUUUGUCCUUUUUGGGUGGGUAAAUCGAAUUAGCAAUUUGCUGAUUUUCAGAUUUAAGAUCACACAAACUAGCAGCUCGUUCUCUAUCAGCUUAUACAAUUUCAGCACGAGUCGUAGGUACCAUAGUAAUUUUUUUUCCUUUAUGCAUAAAAGUGUAUGUGUUACUUCUGCCAUGGCGUAUAGCAUCAUUAUCAAAUUCCCAAGGACAACCCAAUAAAAGUGAACAAGCUUUCAUAGGUACCACAUCACAAUCAGCAUAAUCAGAAUAGGACCCAAAAAGAAACCCUGCAAGUUUGUGUUACCUUAGCUUUUCCAGCAUCGUUAAACCACUAAAGGUUGUAUGGAUGGGGGUGUGGACGUGUGGUCAAGCCAAGCUUCUUAACCAAAUCUGAACUUACCAAAUUGUUGCAACUACCUCCAUCAAUGAUGACAUGUGCACGAUGAUUGUUGAUGACGAAGAAAAUCUAGAACAAAUUGUGGCAUUGCAGCUUCUCUAGUUGUUGUACCUUUGUACUAAGCAUCCGCUGCACAAUGACGCUCAUAUAGGUCAUUGUGUCAUCACUUCCCACAACUUCAUCGUUCUCUUGCACAACCGGUUCGUCUUCAUCAUCUCCCUCAACAUCAGAGGUGCUGAUGUAUCCAUCUUCUGUAGCAAUGUAAGCCCAUUGACUGGGGCAAUCCUUCCGAAUAUGACCGAACCCUUGGCAGCGGCGACACUGAAUGCUAGAGGUGCGUCCUGUGGAAGCAACAGAGGAGGCACUUUUCACUGGUUCCUGCAAUUUUCACUGGUUCCUGCAAAACAGAAUUUUUACUUGAGCCUGAGGGUUGUGUAGUAGUCGGUUUUGGUGUUGUAGCUCCUCCAGAAGAUGCUUGCUGCUUGCUCGAUGGGAGGGGCGCCCUGUAAGUGGAUGCCAUGGACAGCCCUCCUGUGCGUGGCAUCUAUGUAUUGCUAGUCUUGUACUUACCCUGCUUGUCACGUAUCUGCAAUUCUUUCUCUGCAAGCAUAGCUUACUGAAACAACUGGUUGACAUUGUUAAAUUCUUUAUAAUCAACAAUAUCCUGAAUUUCUCGUCUCGGCCCCGAAUAAAAUCAACAAAUAGAAUCCUCGGGUUCCUCUACUAUGCUAUAACGCAUCCAACCCUUUUGAAGCUCACCAUAGUAAUCCUACAUAGAUUUAUCUCCCUGCUUAUACGAAUAGAUUCAAGCCUAGCUACAGGUGCAUAGGUCUCCCCAAAAUCCAAACGUUUGAUUUGAGUGAAAGUGUGAAACCUUUGGCUACCAACUGAACCUUGUUCCUUGUGACCACGCCAUACUUAGCUUCUUUGUUGCAAAAGACCCAUUUGGUGCCUAUCACAUUUUGCUUGGGUCUUUCCACCAAGGACCAGACUUCAUUCCUAGUGAAGUUGUUCAGCUCCUCUUGCAUGGCAAUGACCCAGUCCAGGUCCUUCGAAGCAUCCUCCACCCUUUCUGGCAAUAUAGAAGAGACAAAAGCGUAAUGUUCACAAAAACCAACUAAACAAGAGCGUAUAGUUACCUCUCGUCGUAUAUCUCCCAAGAUGCUAUCAAAUGGAUGGUCCCGCUGAAUGGAUUGAUGAAGCCUAGGAUGAGGUACUGCUGUUCUUGUUUGAAUUGGGCCAUCAUCUUCAUUUCAUUGUCUUUGUUGAUUGGAGAAUCUAGAUCUUUGAAAGGUCCUAAUAUGGCUAGAGGGGGGUGAAUAGCCUAUUUAAAAAUUCUACAAACUCACUAGAGCAAGAGGUUAGUAGAUAACAAAGCGAAGUCUUUUUGCUCUAGCUCUAAUGGGGUGUUUGCAAGCCACCUAUCCAACAAAUCUAGUUGAUAUAAACACUAGGCACACAAGAGCUAAGUCACUACUUACACUAGAAAGCUACCUAAAGUUUCUAAGUAAGUAAGCUACUCUAGUUUGCGGGAAUGUAAAAGAGAUGGUUUGAACUUUAUACCGCCGCGUAGAGGGGAUGAACCAAUCAAUAAUAUGAAGUCCAAUCACCGAGAGAAAUCCAAUGAACAAUCACAAUGGAGACACACAAAUUUUCUCCCGAGGUUCACGUGCUUGCCUGCACACUACGUCCCCGUUGUGUCGACCCACACUUGGUGGUUCGGUGGCUAAGAGGUGUAGCACGAACCUCGUCCUCACUAGGACACCACAAGAACCUACCCACAAGUGAGGUAACUCAAUGACACGAGCAAUCCACUAGAGUUACCUUUCGGCUCUCCGCCGGGGAAGGUACAAGACCCCUCACAAUCACCGAGAGAUGGCCACGAACAAUCACCAACUCGUGCCAAUCCUCCUCCGCUGCUCCAAGCCGUCUAGGUGGCGGCAACCACCAAGAGUAACAAGAAAACCGCAGCUAGAACGAUCCUCAAGUGCCACUAGAUGCAAUCACUCAAGCAAAUGCACUUGGAAUCACUCCCAAUCUCACAAAGAUGUUUAAUCUAUGAAGGAGAUGAGUGGGAGGUGUUUGCUUAGGCUCACAAGGAUGUCAAGUAUGUUAGAAUGCCAAGAGAGUGAGCCCUAAGCUGGCCAAACACGUAUAUAUAGCCCCUCAAGCAAAUAGAGCCGUUGGCUCUUUCACUGGGCGAAAUACGGGGUCACCGGACGCUCUUAAAGGGGCACCGGACAAUCAACACCUGCGUCCGGUGCUCCAAUGUCAGCCGCGUGUCAGAGUCUAACGGUAACCUGCAGAGCACCAGACGCUGAGCAGGUUGGCACCGGACGCGUCCGGUGCACACCGGACUCAUGCGCACAGAGCUCCGCAAACUCGCAGGGUCACCGGACGCAAGCCACCGGACGCACCCUUAGCGUCCGGUGCUCACCGGACCCAUGCGCAGAGAGGGUCGCAAAACGUCCGCACACCGGACGCUCAAGCCAGCGUCCGGUGCCUAUCGUCCGGUGCCUUACCCUAACUGGGCCAGGCACUGUCUGCACCGGACGCUCAGACUUAGCGUCCGGUGCCUCAGUGCCCAGCGUCCGGUGAGUGUUUUUCAACGAGAAACACUCCUGCGACUACUCCAAAUUUUCCACCGGCGCAAUAGAAAAUAUGCACUUCAUUUUCUCGAAAAGCGCCGAACCCACCCUCUCUCUACCCUUCAACCUCUACCACCUUCUCAAGGUGUGCCAACACCACAAUGUGUAAACCAACAUGUGCACGUGUGUUAGCAUUUUCACAAACAUUUUUCUUCGAAGGAGUUAAGUUAGCUCACUAGGUUCUAAAUGCAUGCACAUGAACAAUAACACCUAGUGGCACUUGAUAACCGCUUAGCCAAAGAAUUCCCCUCUUUAUAGUACGGCUAUCUAUCCUAAAUGUGAUCACACCCUCUAUGGUGUCUUGAUCACCAAAACCAAAACCCUAAGCAAUACCUUUGCCUUGAUCUCCAUAGGGUUUUGUUUUUCUCUUUCUUCUUUUCCAAGUUGAGCACUUGAUCACCUUGUGGUCAUCACCAUGAUCACCAUGAUCAUCUCUUGCUCCAUUACUUGGCAUGUACCAACCUCAUUAAGUCUACACACACUUAGUAUAGAGGUUAGUACUUAGGGCUUCAUCAAUUAUCCAAAACCAAACUAGGGCUUUCAAUCUUGAAUGUCUUGAUCACCAUCUUGGUUGGCUCUUGAGCUUGGGGUGGAUCUUGGCUAACUUGUUCUCUCGAGUCAUGACCCCUUAUUGAUGUGGAAGCAUCAUCAUGGGCAUUGGUUGAACCAUGAUGCAAGUUUGGAUCACAAGGAAUUUGCAUAUGUGCAUCAUCUUCUUCUUCUUCAAUGGGUUUCACUUCACUGGUAGCAAGCUUUUUGAUUACUUGAUAAGAUGGUUUGUCUUUACCUAAAAUUUCAGCAUUGACUUGCUCCUUUUGAGAGCCAUCGCUUUCAUCAAAAGUCGAGUCUAUCGCUAUCUCAAUUUGACCGGUGGUCUCAUUGAAAACACGAUCGCCAUGUUCAUUAGUAGCAUAAGCAAGCAAGAACCCUUCACCAACCUUUGGUGCAAACUUAGAGCUUUUAGAUUUCUUAUUAAGUAUAAAACACUUGCAUCCAAAAACUCUAAAGUAAUCCAACUUAGGCUUUUUACCAGUUAUAAGCUCGUAGGCGAUUUUCUUCCUCAACUUGUGGAGGUACAAGCGGUUGAUGACGUGACAUGCCGUGUUGACCGCUUCCGCCGAAUAGUCCUUUUUGGAGAUCUUGUAUUCAUCCAACAUUGCUCCUAUGGCUUCAAUAAGUGUUUGGUUCUUCCUCUCCACAACAACAUUUUGUUGUGGAGUGUAUGGAACGAAGAACUCAUGCUUGAUGCCUUCUUCAUCAAGGAAAGCUUCAAUGUUGGUGUUUCUCAACUCUAUCCCAUUGUCACUUCUAAGUUUCUUGAUCUUCACUUCAAACUCAUUUUGAGCUCUUCUUGCAAACUUUUUGAAGAUCCCUUGCGUUUCACCUUUAUCUCUCAAAAAGAACACCCAAGUGAAGCGAGAAAAAUCAUCAAUAAUCACAAAACCAUAUUUGUUACCUCCAAUGCUAAUAUAAGUAUGGGUCCGAAUAAGUCCAUGUGAAGUAACUCAAGUGGUCUUGAUGUAGUCACAAUGUUCUUAGUAGGAUGCUUAGCUCCAACUUGCUUUCCUGCUUGACAUGCACUACAAAUUCUAUCUUUCUCAAAAGAAACAUUUGUUAGUCCUAGAAUGUGUCCACCUCUUUGAAGAUCGGCCAAGUUCCUCAUCUCGACAUGAGCAAUAUGGCGAUGCCAUAACCAGCCCGUGCUAGAUUUUGCCACUAAACAAGUCUUAGACCCCACUCUACUAGAUGAGAAAUCAACUAAAUAGAGCUUGCCCUUUAGUUGACCCGUAAAAGCAAUAGAGCAAUCCGACCUUCUGGAGUCUUCCACACCCUUAUCCAUAAAGAGACAAUUGUAACCCUUCUCACAAAGUUGUGAGUGUUGACGGUUCUUAAGUAUCAAUUUUAAUUAUCAAAUAAACAAGAGAAAGGACCAAUAUACAAACAACACCUAGAAUUAGGGUUUGAUCUGACAGAAUUCCACGAGUUUUGUUGUUUAUCUGUUUCUACAGGGGGUUAUCAGGAAAUAAGGAAGAAAGGCCCACAUGUCGGGAUUACAUAGAGAUAUUAACACACUGCGCAAUUUUCUACCAUCUAGAAGACUCCAGAAGCCACGGGAACGAACGGGAAGGCGAUCGGGCCUAGGGGCAGGGCGCCCGCCCAGGUGUUGGGCCAAUCACGUCCAACUUCGCGGAUCAGGCUCCACCGACCUAAAGGAUCAAGGAUAACCAUUCAAUCAAUGUCGGUUUGAUCCGACGGCCCACGUUCACCUGAGGGGACUAUAUAAGCAGACCCCCUGGCCCCUGGAGGAGAACAAGUUCAUCAUAGAGUUGAGAGGUGCCCUCGAAGGAUAACCUUUCCUCUACAUAGACUUAGGGCUUAGCAUCCAAUGUGAGAGUAGACUAGUUCUACUAUAUUGAGAGAGAUAGAGUGGAGGUGUAGAUCGGAGGAAGCCCGGCCUAUCGGUGUUUACUCCGAGGUUGUACGUGCGGGAUCAAGUUCUCCUAACCCGAAGCUUGCUCCUAAGAUUCUUCAGUAUUUCGACUUCUAAAUUCUAGUAAGUUCUUGUUUUAUUGUUCUUUGGUUUAUGAGUUUACUUUAGUCUCUUCACGUAGAGUUUAGAGUAAUCAUCUCUGGCAUAAACGUGGUGUUUGGGCUAGGAUACUCAUAGAUAUCCCCUGACUAGCUGGACCGUGGUAGUAGCGAGGAACGUGACAUUUCUGAGUUACCUUUGCAGCCCAUAUCCCGUUAGAUGGAUGGAUAGGGUUUAUAGCUGCAGGUUGAACAUCCUCUGUGGUGUCUAGAUUCUGUGAGCCUCCCCAAUAGAACAAUAGAUCAUCCUUACCAAGGUUAGAAAGAGAUUAUGGUUGUAGUCUUCUCUAUACAUCGCUCACAUCGAGAAACAUUCUUUGUAGCCUAAAGGUUAGUAGUAAUAGACCAGGUUAGUCAGAUGCACUCUUUCUCCUAGUGGUAAAAAUAUAAAUACAAUACUCUGGAUAACAUCCCGGGUGAAGUGCUCAGCGAUAUCCGUGCGCUUGCGGAUCAAUUCCUUAUUGCGUUCCCAAAUAUCAACAAGCAUUUCUGGCGCCGUUGCCGGGGAGAAAGGCGGUUUGCUGAGAAAACCUUAAGUCUUACUACUAGCUUGUAUCUAUACUUUUAUCUUUUCUUAUCUUUUAUAUUCUUUAUUUAUUUUCUUUAUUCUUACUUUAUGGAAAACCAAGAUUCUAAAUCGAUCUAUCAAUUUGCAACACCUUCGGAAACUGACCUUUUACCAUGGGAGUCAUCACAUCCUAUCCAAACAUCCCAGUAUAGGUUAAGUUCCAGGAUGAUUGCCAUGAUUCAAAACCUAUCUUUUUCAGGAAAGGAAGACGAAAACCCUUACCUUCAUAUUAGAGAUUUUGAGCAAACAUGUGAUUGUCUUCGCAUUGAAGGCAUUUCUGAUAAAACUUUACGUUGGAAGCUUUUUACUUUUUAUUUAAUCGGAGAAGCUAGACAAUGGUACAGUCAGAAGGUAAGUCAAAAAUGAGGUGAAUGGGGAGUUUUACGAGCCAACUUUUGCCUAUAUUUUUAUUCCCUCGACCGUAUCGGUGACAUUAGACUCGAAGUCCUAUCUUUUAAACAAAAAGGUAAUGAAACUUUGGGAAAAUCCUGGAAACGUUUUUCUGAUCUUUUAGAAUCUGGUCCAAACCUUAAUAUUGAAUUUCAUUUUUUUCAAGGUCUUCAGAAAGAUCAUAAACAAAUGCUACAUACAAUGUCUAGAGGUUCUUUCGCAUCCCUACCGAUGACGCUAGAGUGAUCCUAGAUAGAAUCCUAGAAGCUGAGAUGGAUAAUACCCUCCAUGAUGAAACCCACAAAGCCGAAGUAGACACUCUGCCAAAUUCUCUAUCUACUUUGGCUAUCCCAAGUUCUGAGCCACAAAAGGAAAAAAUUCCACCACCUGAUUUCAUGCUGGAUAUAGAAUCUGAUCUUUUUGCCAAUUUUGGAAAUAUUUCAAACUACCAUUCUACUAACAAACUCCAAAACGGCCAUUUUAGCAUUUGUUUGCCAACUGAACAUCAAUUGAGAGAGCUUAUCGCAGUCAUAAGUAGCGAAUGGUUGGAAGAGUCAGAGCUUUCCUCUGAUGUGAUCUGUUUGGACACACCUCCUAUAACUAUACGCUGUGCUUAUGAUUCUGAUCAAUUUGAUGCUCUCUAUAAUCCUAUUGUGGGGAUCAACAUCAUGUCUGAAUCUUUUGCACUUAAACUAUUUAAAAAUUUGGUCCUAACCCCCACAAUAAAGGUCAUAAAGGAAUCUUCGGGACGAUUAGUCCCCAGUCUUGGAAUUAUUAAUGUCCUACCCUUAUUGGUAGAAGGCUCCAUGGUUUAUUUGAACUUCUAUAUCUUUGAUACAUGGGACUUCGACCUGUUGAUAGGACAACCUUUUAGAAGACUCCUUUAUGAAGGUCAUAUUGGAAAGCUACACUUUUCUUUUGGAAAAACUUUUAAAAUUCCAAUAACGAUUUCACACUCCUUAAAUAAUAAGGCCGAGUCAUAUCUUUUGCCUGAUCCUAUGGAGGAGGUAAAGGCUGCAUCUGUAGAGCUUUUAGAUGAAUCAGACUUAGAAGACGAAGCUCCUUUCUUCAUAGAAGAAGAAGCUGAACCAUCUGAACCUGAACCCUUAGACGAGUUUGCAGAAACACCUAGACCUCCCAUAGAGCUUAAAACUUUACCACCCGGUCUUAUCUAUGCUUUCCUAAACAAUAAUCCAGAGUUUCCUGUGAUCAUUAGUGAUAAACUCACACAAGAGCAAACUCUGCGAUUGAUGACCAUUCUUGAGAAACAUCACUCAGUUUUUGGCUACUCACUCCAAGAUCUUACAGGAAUCAGUCCUAUGAUUUGUACCCAUCGUAUUCCAACAGAUCCUUCUGUUUCACCUUCUCGAGAGCCCCAACGUAGACUGAACAACGCGAUGAGAGAGGUAGUUAAAAAGGAAGUUAUAAAGUUGCUGCAUGCAGGGAUUAUAUAUCCUGUGCCGCACAGUGAGUGGGUGAGCCCAGUUCAAGUUGUGCCUAAAAAUGGAGGCAUGACUGUCGUUAUGAAUGAAAAUAACGAGCUAAUUCCGCAACGCACCGUCAUAAGGUGGCGGAUGUGCAUAGACUAUAGAAAACUAAACAAAGCCACGAGAAAGGAUCAUUUUCCUUUACCUUUCAUAGAUGAGAUGCUAGAGCGAUUAGCAAACCAUUCGUUCUUCUGUUUCUUGGAUGGAUAUUCAGGGUAUCACCAGAUCCCGAUCCAUCCCGAUGAUCAAAGCAAAACCACUUUUACAUGCCCAUACAGAACUUAUGUUUACCGUAGAAUGUCUUUCGGGUUAUGUAAUACACCAGCUUCUUUUCAAAGAUGCAUGAUGUCUAUAUUUUCUGAUAUGAUUGAAGAGAUUAUGGAAGUUUUCAUGGAUGAUUUCUCUGUUUAUGGAAAAACUUUUGAUAGUUGUCUUGAAAACUUAGACAAGGUUUUGCAAAGAUGUGAAGAAAAGCAUUUAGUCCUUAAUUUGGAAAAAUGUCAUUUUAUGGUUAGGGAAGGAAUAGUGCUGGGACACCUAGUGUUUGAAAGAGUUAUUGAGGUAGACAAAGCUAAAAUUGAAGUAAUUGAACAACUACCUCCACCUGUGAAUAUAAAAGGAAUUCGAAGCUUUCUUGGCCAUGCUAGUUUUUAUCGCAGAUUCAUAAAAGAUUUCUCAUUUAUUGCUAGACCACUUACUCUUUUGCUAUCCAUGGAUGCUCCUUUCGAAUUUGAUGAUGCAUGCUUAACAUCUUUCAAUUUAUUAAAGAAUGCACUCAUCUAUGCACCAAUCAUUCAACCCCCUGAUUGGUCGUUAUCUUUUGAAAUUAUGUGUGAUGCUAGUGAUUAUGCUGUGGGGGCAGUUUUGGGACAAACUAAAAAUAAGAAGCAUCAUGCAAUUGCUUAUGCCAGUAAAACUUUGAUAGGAGCUCAACUUAAUUAUGCAACCACUGAAAAAGAGCUUCUGGCUGUUGUCUUUGCCAUUGAUAAAUUUAGAUCUUAUUUAGUUGGAGCUAAAAUAAUUGUUUACACUGAUCAUGCUGCACUAAAAUAUCUGCUCACUAAAAAAGAUGCUAAACCUCGCAUGAUUAGAUGGAUCCUAUUACUUUAAGAAUUUGACUUAGAAUUAAAAGAUAAAAAGGGAGUAGAAAAUUCUGUCGCUGAUCACUUGUCUCGAAUGUAUUUUAAGAAUUCACAGGAAACCCCCAUCAAUGAUUCACUCCGGGACGACAUGCUCUACGGGAUUAAUAGGUCUGACCCCUGGUAUGUAGAUAUUGUUAAUUUUAUGGUUUCAGGGUAUGUGCCACCAGGAGCAAACAAGAAGAAGCUUAUUCAAGAAAGUCGUUCACAUAUAUGGGAUGAGCCAUACCUCUUCCGAGUAUGCUCUGAUGGCUUACUCAGGAGAUGUGUGACCACUAAGGAAGGAUGGAAGAUCAUCAACAGAUGUCAUUCAUUACCAUAUGGAGGUCAUUAUGGAGCAUUCCGUACACAUUCAAAGAUCUAGCAAUGUGGAUUCUACUGGCCUACAAUGUAUGAAGACACAAAGCAAUAUAUCAGAAGAUAUGGGCCAUGUCAAAGGCACGGAAACAUAAACACAAGGGAUGCCAUGCCAAUCACCAACAACCUUCAGAUUGAGCUCUUUGAUAUCUGGGGAAUAGAUUACAUGGGUCCAUUUCCCCCAUCAAAGAUGUGUGAGUUCAUCUUGGUGGCAGUUGACUAUGUCUCCAAGUGGGUAGAGGCACUACCUUGCAAGCACGCCGACAACAUCAGUUCAAAGAGGAAGUUUAAAGAAGUUAUAUUUCCAAGAUUUGGAGUUCCAAGAGUAGUGAUAAGUGAUGGAGGAGCACAUUUCAUCGACAAACGCUUCAAGCAAUAUCUAUCAAAACAUGGAAUCCGUCAUAACGUCGCUACUCCCUACCAUCCUGAGACAAGUGGCCAAGCAGAAACUUCCAACAAAAAAAUCAAGAAUAUUCUCUAGAAGAUAGUCAAUGAAAUGGGAACGGCAUGGAAAGACAAGUUACCCGAUGCACUCUGGGCAUACCAGACAGCAUACAAGACACCAAUUGGAAUGUCCCCAUACCAAUUGGUGUACGGGAAGAUUUGCCACCUACCUGUUGAAUUAGAGUUCAAAGCACACUGGGCCAUAAGGAGAUGGAAUAUGGACCUAGAUGUCGCUGGAGAUCACAGAAGAGUGCAACUAUCAGAACUGGAAGAAUGGCGAGAGAAAGCAUAUCACAAUUCGAAGAUCUACAAAGAAAGAGUUAAAUGGUGGCAUGACAUGAGGAUCAAAAAGGAGUUCGCACCCGGAGAUAAGGUAUUACUUUUUAAUUCCAGGGUGAAGCUUUUCGGGCAUGGAGAACUCCGGAGUAAAUGGGAAGGACCAUUCAAGGUAAUCAAUUCAUCAUCCCACGGAGCUAUCACACUUCAAAAUGACGAAGGUACGUUAUUCAAGGUAAAUGGUCAACGUCUUAAAUUAUUUUUAGAGCCCAAUAAAGAAUUAGAAGAGAUAGAUGUGAUCCAUUUCUACCUUCCCAUGGAGAAUUAGAGCCCAACCUUUUUAAUCUGACGUUUUUGGGCCACACAUAUAUUUUCCGAAUAAAGUCUGCAUCUAGAAACACGCUCGAGGAAGCGGGCCAAAGAGAGGAGCCAGACACAGGGCAGGUGCCCAGCCCCUGUCCCCUCUCAGUCCCGAUUUCCUCUGUCACGAUAAACACAUUUAUGGUAAACCAAAUAAUCAUACAGAUGGAAAGUUUCGCACGCACGGUGGCGGGAGUAGCCCGAGCAAACCCUAGAGACACUUUUUGACCCAUAUAUAAACUGACCCCUAACGUCAGUUUUCAAACACCAAUUCAUACAAGCCUUCUCUCCUUCUUCAAUUAGAGCUUGCUUAGUCCCUCGCUGCUCCAAUGGCCGAAGAGUUCCACGACGAUUCGGAAGUCGUCCCCUAUGACCUCAACAAGAAGCCCAAGGAAGACCCCGACGCCCGCGCUCUUGUCCCGACCAACACAGAGCGACAGCUAGAAGCCAUGCCAUUACGCCAGCGCAGCUCCGCCCAAUCCACCAUGCUCAACCAGUUCUCACCGCACCACCGCAGCCCCUACUUCUCAAGGGACCAUCAGCCAACAAGGAGGCCACCGUCAUGGUGCCUGCCAGCACGAGGAUCCUACCACCCAGACCCAAUGAGAGGGUCGUUGGAGUCAAGACCAACCGGAGCGGCGAGAUCAGCAGCAUCCGCUACACUACGGAGGAAGAGAGGCCUUACUUUGAGGGGAUUAUAGCAGCCAAAGUCUGUUUCAUCCCUCCAAAGGCAGCCCCGAAGCACGCUCUCAACGCUCUCGAGACACCUCCUAAGCGUCGCAAGACUAUAGUAGAUUUGAUGAGGACGUUCGUAGGCUAGACAGGAUCAGUCCUCGAUUAACUCUAUCACUAGACAGCUCUCUAACCAGAACACCAUUAUACUAGGUCUUAGGCAUGAUCUUGCUAGUGCUAAUAAAAAGAUUAGGGAGUUAGAGCGCCGCUAGGUUAUCUAGAUUAGAUCUUGAGGCAAUGCAUCUUAGUUAUUUAUCUUUAAAUUUGGUUUAGAUCUAUUUAGCUUUAGUUCAUUACUAGUCAUUUUGUAAUAAAUGCCUCAAGAUUAAUAAAGAGUAUUAUUAUUAUUAUGUCUUGUGUGUCUCUACUUUAUAUUUAUGCAAGAAAGCAGAAAACAAGUAUGGGGGAGAUCCCUCGACAUGCCAAACACACUUCGACUACACCACUCCACGAUUCAGGUACAUACUCUACACACUUUAAACAUACACAUAUAUCUUGGAUUAUGCAAAAUAUUGUCUGUGACAUGAUAAAUUAAAAAGAUUAAAAUGUUUCUAAUCAUGAUUAAUCUCACUCUGUGAUAUUUCCUGAAACCUGCAAUUAUUGAAAAAUCAUUUUAAAACCCUGUGUUACUUAAGUCAAUGUGGAAUGUGAGAUGGUAGAGUAUGAGUAUCUUAUUCUUGAUAUCAAUGUUGCUUGGAGAAUUUAUUUCAAAAUCUUCAAAAAUUCUAGCUACCAUCCUCAGUGUUUUAUAUGCCUGAUAAACCUAUUAAUUAUAAUAAUAAAAGCUAUCUGCUCUGUAUUGAGUUUGUUCAAAAUGAGUUAGACCCUUGUUGAGAGAUUUAUCAUACUCCUAAGAUCAAGACAUUUAUUCAGAAAGAUUCACUCUUCCGAAGUAUUAUUGUGUUAGAGGCAUGGGUUAUGCAAAUAUAAGGAUAUUUCGAGGAAAUAAAAAGGAGCAAGUGCUCGACAACCUUGCAGAAAAAAUGGACAAGUGUCCGGCAGUAGAAUUAGGGGUACCUCGGUAUCCACCUGAAAAAAAAGAGAGAAAAGAAAGAAAAUAAUAGCCCAUGGUCCCUCUAAUAAGCAAUAUGCCAGUAAGAGUUGACAAGUUUUUAAUUUCCAAAGUCUUUGAUCUAAGAGUAUGGCAUUCUUCUCCUCGGAUCCCGUUUUGAUCAGGCAAUAAAUGCAAGGUAAGUACGUUUGAGAAUUUUUGCAAAUUAAAACAGCCUCAGUGAGAAAAAUAAAAGAUAAUGUGUGACAUG
rnacentral:lncRNA from 1 species